rnacentral:misc_RNA from 1 species
CCAAUAGCGUAUAUUAAAGUUGUUGCAGUUAAAAAGCUCGUAGUUGAAUUUCGGGAUUAGUACGCUGGUCGUGCCUUCGGUAUGUACUGGUGUUACUGGUUCCUACCUUCUGACGAACCGUCAUGUCAUUAAUUUGGUGUGGCGGGAAAUCAGGACUGUUACUUUGAAAAAAUUAGAGUGUUUAAAGCAGGCUCGCGCUUGAAUACAUUAGCAUGGAAUAAUGAAAUAGGACGUUCGAUCCUAUUUUGUUGGUUUCUAGGAUUGACGUAAUGAUUAAUAGGGAUAGUUGGGGGCAUUAGUAUUCAAUUGUCAGAGGUGAAAUUCUUGGAUUUAUUGAAGACUAACUACUGCGAAAGCAUUUGCCAAGGAUGUUUUCAUUAAUCAAGAACGAAAGUUAGGGGAUCGAAGACGAUCAGAUACCGUCGUAGUCUUAACCAUAAACUAUGCCGACUAGGAAUCAGACGAUGUUAAUUUUUUAAUGACUCGUUUGGCACCUUACA